rnacentral:rRNA from 1 species
CAAGGGUAUGGCUGUUCGCCAUUUAAAGUGGUACGCGAGCUGGGUUUAGAACGUCGUGAGACAGUUCGGUCCCUAUCUGCCGUGGGCGCUGGAGAACUGAGGGGGGCUGCUCCUAGUACGAGAGGACCGGAGUGGACGCAUCACUGGUGUUCGGGUUGUCAUGCCAAUGGCACUGCCCGGUAGCUAAAUGCGGAAGAGAUAAGUGCUGAAAGCAUCUAAGCACGAAACUUGCCCCGAGAUGAGUUCUCCCUGAGACUUUAGGUCUCCUGAAGGAACGUUGAAGACGACGACGUUGAUAGGCCGGGUGUGUAAGCGCAGCGAUGCGUUGAGCUAACCGGUACUAAUGAACCGUGAGGCUUAACCUUACAACGCCGAAG